UUUCCGUAGGUGAACCUGCGGAAGGAUCAUUAUUGUGUAACCGAGGUGCGAGGGCUGUCGCUGACCCGAAAGAUCGUGCACGCCCGAGUGCCCUCACACACAUCCAUCUCACCCCUAUGUGCACCACCGCGUGGGUCCCCCUUUGGCUUGUUCGGAGGGGGGCUUACGUUUUCACACAAACUUUGUAUGCAGUGUAGAAUGUAUUUUUUGUUUUUGCGAUCACGCAAUCAAUACAACUUUCAACAACGGAUCUCUUGGCUCUC
rnacentral:misc_RNA from 1 species